CAUUUGGCUUAAAAAGCUGAGUGGGUCACUGCCAGGGGAACCCACAGCUGGAACCCCAAAGGAAGGGGAGCCUGAAGGGUAGCUGUAUCUGCUGAGGGGAGAGCCGUCGAGAAGGGAGCUUGGCCUCAGGGAGCCCCUGGACCACCAGGGAUAACCUGAAAUCAUGAGGCUUUCCACCCGCAUCUGAAAAACGCACAAUGGAGCGUUUACCCUAAAAACAGCACAAGUGUGGCAUCUCUCCCCUCCCCAGAGGGACAGACUGAGCGACUGCGAGAGGAAAACCCACGGCAGCCAGCAGUGAGGACGCUGGGACUCAGCUUGUGCUCCAAGCUCUGCAGUCACAAUGUCCCCUCCGCUCACCUCGGACCUGGGCUACGUGCCCCCUGAUGGUGGCUGGGGCUGGGCGGUGGUGUUUGGAGCCUCCAUCUCUGUGGGCUUCUCGCACACCUUCCCCAAAGCUUUCACCAUCUACUUUAAAGAGCUCCAGACUGUUUACAGCAUCUCCUACAGCCAGCUUGCCUGGAUCACAUCCAUCAUGUGCGC